rnacentral:rRNA from 1 species
GGUAAAAAAGCUCGUAGUUGGAUUUCUGUCAAGGGCGACCGGUCCGUACCAAGUGCGCGCACCUGGUUCGACCUCGGCAUCCUCUCGGAAGACGUUUCUGCGCUUGAUUGCGUGGAGCGGAGUUCGGGGCUUUUACUUUGAGGAAAUUAGAGUGUUCACGGCAGGCUAACGCCAGAAUACAUUAGCAUGGAAUAAUACUAUAGGAUCUUGAUUCUAUUUUGUUGGUUUCUAGGAUUAAGAUAAUGAUUAAUAGGGACAAUUGGGGGCAUUCGUAUCGACACGUCAGAGGUGGAAUUCUUGGAUUGUGUUGCGACGAACUACUGCGAAAGCAUUUGCCAAGGAUGUUUUCAUUGAUCAAGAACGAAAGUAAGGGGAUCGAAGACGAUUAGAUACCGUCGUAGUCUUUACCAUAAACUAUGCCAACUAGAGAUGGGACAUCGUUCACUUACGACUUGUUCCGCACCUUAUGAGAUAUCAAAGUCUUUGGGUUCCGGGGGGAGUAUGGUCGCAAGUCUGAAACUUAAAGGAAUUGACGGAAGGGCACCACCAGGAGUGGAGCCUGCGGCUUAAUUUGACUCAACACGGGGAAACUCACCAGGUCCAGACAUAAUAAGGAUUGACAGAUUGAUAGCUCUUUCUUGAUUUUAUGGGUGGUGGUGCAUGGCCGUUCUUAGUUCGUGGAGUGAUUUGUCUGCUUAAUUGCGUUAA